UUUAUUUUGUUACUUUGAUGACUCUUUGAGUUCUUUGAUGUGUGCAACAAAUGGAAGAAAGGGAGCAUAUCCACGCGGGGAUACAAGAGUUACCCAAAAUCACAAUGAUACCAUUGCUAAUUGUUGCUGUCACAGGAACGCUUCUAGGAUACAAAUAAAACAGUCCAAAUCCUCCAGUCCCAUCAAGCAUAUGAGGUCUUCCUCUGGCCAGGGAGGAAGGGAUACAAGUACUCUCCUUCCUGCCUCCCUCCCCUUCCCAUGUCUCCAAAAGUGAUUGCUUCACAGAGGCUUUGCAAGAUAUUUCUUUCUUCUUUUAAAUACUUGAUUCUAAGUAUCUAACUGGUUUUAAAGAAGCUCUGCAAGUUCUGAUAGAUCUCAGUGCUAGCAAAUCCAGAAACAAGAAAAAAAAAUGAAAAGGAAAUCUGGCAUCCUUUCAUGGAAAGAAGAUCCUGGUCCUUUCUUGAGCAUGUGGGAGUCUCCUGAGAGGUAUCCAGGGCCUGGGGCUCUACUGGAAGUCAUUCCCCCAACUCUUUAGGGACUGAGAAUGUGGAAAAGAUUGGAAGGCACACUUUCACUCUUCAGUUGGAAAACCUAACAGUCCUAGGUAGAAAUUCUUCCAAGAUUACCUCAUUGCUUAAGGCCAUGAAACUGAGGUAUUGCUGAGGAGGAAGAGAUGAGCCAUAUCAAGUUUUACAUGCUCAUUAAAAAACACAAGAAAGAGGGAAGUUGUAAUAAAAUGGAAAGACAGCUCAUACUCAGCCAAUAAGCAUUUAUGUAGCACUUACUAUAUGUUAGGUAUUGUGAUAAAUGCUAAGGAUUCAAAGUCAGCAAAAACAUAAUCCUGGUUUCAAACUGUUCACAAUUUAAUGAGAGACAUCAUGUACACAAAAUAUAUGUACAGAAUGCAUAAAGUGUAGCUGGAAGGCAAUCUCAAGGAAGAUACUAUUAGUAGAAUCAUGGGAGGAUUGGGAAAGGCCUUCAGAAACUGAGAGGUGAAUACAGUCUUGAAGGAUGUCCUGGAAACCAGAGGCUGAGAUGAGGAGGAAGAAAGUUCCAGAUAUGGGGGAGGGUCACUGACAAUUCAGGAAACAGGAGAUGGAAUGUCUUGUACAAAUUAAAGCAAGGAAGUCAGGACAGUAAGGUAAGAUGUGAGAAACUUGCAAAGGUAGGAAUGGGUCAGUUAACCUGGAAACGGAUCUAUGAAGCCAAAUAGGACUUUAUAUUUGAUCCUAGAAGUAAUUGGAAAUAAAGUGGAAUUUAUUGAGCAUGUAUGUAUGUAUGUGGGGGAAUUCCAAAUAAAGGAGUUGGUAGAAUCAGUUUUAUAAUAAAGAUUAUGAGAAACACCAUGGGAUAUUUGAUUAUCAUGUAUUAAAGAACAAUAAGUACUUGCAAAAAAGACCACCAUGCAAAUAACUGCAAGAUCAUGUAUCAAUAUCAGUGGCAGA